rnacentral:rRNA from 1 species
UGGGGAAUUUUGGACAAUGGGGGAAACCCUGAUCCAGCCAUCCCGCGUGUGCGAUGAAGGCCUUCGGGUUGUAAAGCACUCUUGGCAGGAAAGAAACGUCAUGGGUUAAUACCCCGUGAAACUGACGGUACCUGCAGAAUAAGCACCGGCUAACUACGUGCCAGCAGCCGCGGUAAUACGUAGGGUGCAAGCGUUAAUCGGAAUUACUGGGCGUAAAGCGUGCGCAGGCGGUUCGGAAAGAAAGAUGUGAAAUCCCAGAGCUCAACGUUGGAACUGCAUUUUUAACUACCGGGCUAGAGUGUGUCAGAGGGAGGUGGAAUUCCGCGUGUAGCAGUGAAAUGCGUAGAUAUGCGGAGGAACACCGAUGGCGAAGGCAGCCUCCUGGGAUAACACUGGCGCUCAUGCACGAAAGCGUGGGGAGCAAACAGG